UGACCAAAGUGCUGUACGUACGUCAGUUAUUUUUAUAGUGUGGUAAGCCAAUUACAAUAAUUAUUGAUAAUACAUCCGUCACAAAGUGUAAAUGACACAAGGAAUUGUUUUAUAUUUCACAGCAGGACAUUUGACAUGAAACAGUAAACACCAGACAUGCUCACAAACACCUUCUUAUUUAAGUUUUUAUUAAGAUUAAAACCUUAAAAGGAUUCAGAAACAAUGAUAUAAUUUCUUGGAACAGGUUUUCCCCUAGUGGUUAUGUUUUGUAAAUGCCCAAAUACGGACCGGAUCUAAUGGCGUUUAUUUUUUACAUAGCUGAACUGAAUUUUUCUGUGGCUGCAAAUUUACCCCAACAAAGUUAUCUCAUCAGGACACUUUUCAAAUAGCACAGGUCUAUAUCCUACUCCUUAUAAGAUUAUUUACAGAGACCCAACAGUUCCCACCAUAGGCAAGCACUUGGCGACAGCGUCAAGGAAAGACUUUUUUUUUCUCAGGAUGAUGAAGUUAUGACCCACCUUACUGUGCCUCUGAUGGGCUAGUGUUCAUAGCAAAGAACACCAUAAAUGAGAUAACGUAACUUGGAUGUGCCUGGUCACAUGUUUCCACCCAAAAGACCAGAUCAUUAAGCAGAUCAUGACCGCAAGUGUUUUCUUCGACCAAAUGCCAACAAAGCCGAUGUCAAACCUGGAGUAGAUAAAAGUAUAGAAGUGCUGUUGAAAGUGAUUUGACUUUUAAAACUAAGAUUGAAUGUUUUCUGUGUUUAAUAUCUGGAAGUUCCCAGCACUGAAGAACCCCACACAGAUGUUCUUCCUGUUGUUCGGAUCAUAGUCGGGGUCGUGGGGUUGAUCACUGGUACGCUGAUAGUGGUCCUGUGCGAGAGAGGCUUGAUCGGGUGUAAAAACAGGGACUCCUCCGUAGAUCCAGACAACCAAAACGCCAGCCCAGACGAAGACGACAACGCCCUGUGGAAUGUGGAGGAAGCAGUGUGACGUUCCAUCAGAGUACGAAGCCUCAGUGUGCAGUUUGAAACCAGAAUUACAAUUAAAACUAACAUCAUUGCUCAUGCACUGUAAUCCGAAACUGUUGGAACUGUUACAUUGAAAAGAAAAAGUAACACAAGCUCAAUUUUUUAAGUUGAAAAAGAUUCUUGAUUGAACAGCUUUUUACAGUAAGUAUAUAUAUUUUUAUAUCUGUUUACUGUUUUAUAUGGCUGCACCUGUAUAUGCAGUUAUAGUUGUCUUUUGUUUGUUCAUAUCUAUUGUUGUUGUAAAUAAAAUAUGAAUCAUAAAAACAAAUAUAUGGACACAAUAAGUCUCAAACUUUGUUCAGUAAUGUUUCUCCUGACCAGCGAUGAUAUCGACCAGGUGAUACAAUAACUAAUAAACAAUAAUUGACUCAUUCUCUCCAAAUGUAAAUCAGCUGACUUACUGUCAACACUUAAAUAAAUGCUUGAUUGCAAGAUAAAACCUCUGAUUUAUUGAUUUAGAUGAGUUGGAACUAGUUAAUUUCAUUGAAUAACCAAACCAAUUU